rnacentral:sRNA from 1 species
CCGCCCCGCCGCGCCUCGCCCCGCCGCGGGGAAGACUGAGCCGGCCCCUCCGUCACAGGCGAGGCCCUCGGCGUCCUGGAGGCGACCAUGCGGGAGUCGGGCGCACACGUCUGGGGCAGCUCCGCGGCUGGGCUGGCGGGCGGCGUGGCGGCUGCCGUGCUGCUGGCGCUGUUGGUCCUGCUGGUGGCGCCGCCGCUGCUGCGCCGCGCAGGGAGGCUCAGGUACGCGGGGCGGGGGCGCGGAGGUGGGGCUGGGGGUUGCUCCGAGGGGCUCACGCUGCGUCCCCGCUACGCCCUCAGGUGGAGGAGGCACGAGGCGGCGGCCCCGGCUGGAACGCCCCUCGGCUUCCACAACCCGGUGUUCGACGUGACGGCCUCCGAGGAGCUGGUGAGGGGGCUGGAGGGGGGACCGGGGCCUCCUCGGGGCCGGGACUCGGCGCCGACCGCCGCCUGACCCUGUCACCCCGCAGCCCCUGCCGCGGCCGCUCAGCCUGGUUCCGAAGGCGGCCGCAGA